GACGAACCGUGCGAACGUUAUUCGGAAUCACUGGGCUUAAAGCGCGUGUAGGCGGCCCGGCACGUCCGUCGCUGAAAUCCCCCGGCUCAACCGGGGAAGUGGCGUGGAUACGACCGGGCUGGAGGGGGGUAGGGGGAGCCGGAACUUCCGGUGGAGCGGUGAAAUGCGUUGAGAUCGGAAGGAACGCCCGUGGCGAAAGCGGGCUCCUGGACCCCACCUGACGCUGAGACGCGAAAGCUAGGGGAGCAAACGGG
rnacentral:rRNA from 1 species